AGAAGCGACACCUGCUGGAGUGUAGGACCAAAGAGCUGCACUGGAGAACAGAUUUACUAAAGAUCAACUUUAGAAAUUUACACUUUGCAGCAGCUCAGAAGACAAAUAAGGUCAGAAGCAGCACAGAUGAACAUAGAAAGCUGAUUCCUGCCUGCUGAGUUGCCUGGGUUCCUUCGUCUGCUGGUUUUCCGUCCAACCACAGAUUCUGCCUUCUUCUCCGGAGGAUCUCCACCUGUCGCCAGCUUAACCUGGGAACAUCAACGUACACCUGGGAAGAAGAAUUUCUCUGGAAACAUCUGCCACGACCGGGUUCUACUGACACCAACUUACCAAGCACAUGGUGAACAACGGGAGGGAGAGUUCUGGAUGAAGCCAAACCAAAAGGACUGUUCUCAGCUCAUCAGCUAAGUCUCCAAGCCCUAGUAUCACCAGACUAUUUGUAUUGUUAAUAUGUCGAAUUAAAUAAUCAGCGUGCCGUAUUUAACUUAAUGUAUUUUAUGCUCUGCAUAGGAUAUUUUUAGUCUGGGGUUUCAGCUCAUAAUUACUGGUAGUCUAGGCUGGAUUAGUUUAGUAUUUUCAGUUGUUUCCCUGCCUUGGUGUUAUCAUAUGUGGGUUAACCUUAGUUUCAGUUUCCAUGUUCCUGUAGUUAUUCCUCUGUGCUUCUAGAUGGUUUUUGUUUUUUAGUUCUAGUAGUAGUUUAGUUUUUCUAGUUCCGGUUCCUGUGUAGAGUUUCUUUUUGUGAAUAAAAGCGUUUUUAAAACGUU